rnacentral:rRNA from 1 species
UACGUAGGUGGCAAGCGUUGUCCGGAUUUAUUGGGUUUAAAGGGUGCGUAGGCGGCCCUGUAAGUCAGUGGUGAAAUACUCUAGCUUAACUAGAGGGUGCCAAUGAUACUGCAGGGCUUGAGUACAGAUGAGGUAGGCGGAAUUGACGGUGUAGCGGUGAAAUGCAUAGAUAUCGAUCAAGAACACCGAUAGCGAAGGCAGCUUACUGGGC